rnacentral:rRNA from 1 species
AGUCGAGCGGUAACAGGAGUAGCUUGCUACUCGCUGACGAGCGGCGGACGGGUGAGUAACGCGUAGGAAUCUGCCUAAUAGUUGGGGAUAGCCCGGGGAAACCCGGAUUAAUACCGAAUACGCUCUACGGAGGAAAGCAGGGGAUCUUCGGACCUUGCGCUAUUAGAUGAGCCUGCGUGAGAUUAGCUAGUUGGUGAGGUAAUGGCUCACCAAGGCGACGAUCUCUAGCUGGUCUGAGAGGAUGAUCAGCCACACUGGGACUGAGACACGGCCCAGACUCCUACGGGAGGCAGCAGUGGGGAACAUUGCACAAUGGGCGCAAGCCUGAUGCAGCCAUACCGCGUGUGUGAAGAAGGCCUUAGGGUUGUAAAGCACUUUCAGUUGUGAGGAAAGGGGUGUAGUUAAUACCUGCAUCCUGUGACGUUAGCAACAGAAGAAGCACCGGCUAACUCCGUGCCAGCAGCCGCGGUAAUACAGAGGGUGCGAGCGUUAAUCGGAAUUACUGGGCGUAAAGCGCGCGUAGGCGGUUUGUUAAGUCGGAUGUGAAAUCCCCGGGCUCAACCUGGGAAUUGCACCCGAUACUGGCAGGCUAGAGUACGGUAGAGGGGUGUGGAAUUUCCUGUGUAGCGGUGAAAUGCGUAGAUAUAGG